rnacentral:tRNA from 1 species
GGGAAUGUGGCUCAGUGAGAGAGCAUUUGAUUUGCAUGCAGAAAGUCCUGGGUUCAAUCCUUGGCAUCUCCCG